rnacentral:rRNA from 1 species
GCAUAUCAAUAAGCGGAGGAAAAGAAACCAACAGGGAUUGCCUUAGUUAACGGCGAGUGAAGCGGCAAAAGCUCAAAUUUGAAAAUCUGGCACCUUCGGUGUCCGAGUUGUAAUUUGAAGAAGGUAACUUUGGAGUUGGCUCUUGUCUAUGUUCCUUGGAACAGGACGUCACAGAGGGUGAGAAUCCCGUGCGAUGAGAUGCCCAAUUCUAUGUAAAGUGCUUUCGAAGAGUCGAGUUGUUUGGGAAUGCAGCUCUAAGUGGGUGGUAAAUUCCAUCUAAAGCUAAAUAUUGGCGAGAGACCGAUAGCGAACAAGUACAGUGAUGGAAAGAUGAAAAGAACUUUGAAAAGAGAGUGAAAAAGUACGUGAAAUUGUUGAAAGGGAAGGGCUUGAGAUCAGACUUGGUAUUUUGCGAUCCUUUCCUUCUUGGUUGGGUUCCUCGCAGCUUACUGGGCCAGCAUCGGUUUGGAUGGUAGGAUAAUGACUAAGGAAUGUGGCUCUACUUCGGUGGAGUGUUAUAGCCUUGGUUGAUACUGCCUGUCUAGACCGAGGACUGCGUCUUUUGACUAGGAUGUUGGCAUAAUGAUCUUAAGCCACCCGUCUUGAAACACGGACCAAGGAGUCUAACGUCUAUGCGAGUGUUUGGGUGUAAAACCCGUACGCGUAAUGAAAGUGAACGUAGGUGAGAGCUCUUAAGAGUGCAUCAUCGACCGAUCCUGAUGUCUUCGGAUGGAUUUGAGUAAGAGCAUAGCUGUUGGGACCCGAAAGAUGGUGAACUAUGCCUGAAUAGGGUGAAGCCAGAGGAAACUCUGGUGGAGGCUCGUAGCGGUUUCUGACGUGCAAAUCGAUUCGUCGAAAUUUGGGGUA